GGGCACUUGGCGCAGCGGUUAGCGCGUUCGUUUCACAUGCGAAAGGUCAGAGGUUCAAAUCCUCUAGUGCCCA
rnacentral:tRNA from 3 species